rnacentral:rRNA from 1 species
UACGGGGGGGGCAAGCGUUGUUCGGAAUUACUGGGCGUAAAGGGCGCGUAGGCGGGUGGACAAGUCUCUCGUGAAAGCCCACGGCUCAACCGUGGAAUUGCGGGAGAUACUGUCUGUCUUGAGACCGGGAGAGGAGGGUGGAAUUCCCAGUGUAGCGGUGAAAUGCGUAGAUAUUGGGAGGAACACCGGUGGCGAAGGCGGCUCUCUGGACCGGUACUGACGCUGAGGCGCGAAAGCUAGGGGAGCAAACGGG